CCCAUGUGUGCCGGGGAGCGGCCCCCGGGGACCGCGGUUGUGCUGCUUCUACGCGCAUAAGCAGGGAGACUUCCCUUUCGACACGUCCGCUUCCCCCCCGCGCGAGUGAGACACCCGCAGCCCGGCCGUUACAGGCGCGGUCAGGGUGAUUACCUGCGGCUGUCGUCUGCUCUGCCUUGCGUAGAAGUCCUGGUGGGGGUGACCUGGUGCUGCCUACAGUCUGCUGCAACUUCUUAGGUGCUGCAACUUCUUCCUAGUUACUACCAGAGGCCAGCAAGAAUGCAGAAGAUGUAAUCAAAGCUAAUAUUGCUGAUCCUCUGAAAAUUAUUAAAAUUAUACAUGAAAAUGAAAGCCUUUGUGUGA
rnacentral:lncRNA from 1 species